UUGUUCUCUGGUUGAGGAUGAUUUUCGCCAUUUGAAGGAGCAAAGCAGAUACCUGUUCCGACAAGACCCAUCUUCCCGGUUCGGACAUCUAACACGCUGUUGAAUCGCCUCGGAUUCGAUCGAGGCUCUUUCUUCUUGUUGUGCAGAUGACGACGAUGCGAUAAGAGGUUCUUGCGGGGCACAAACGUGGGGAAUAUCUCGCGCCCCGGAUGGGAGAUCCUUCGGAGUUACCGAAGAGAGGGGUUGAUUACAAAGCGUCUGCCUUGGUUUAUAAAAACCGAAAAAAAAGAGUUUGUGGGUUCUGUCGUUUUCUGGUUGGACUGAUGAAGCGUCUCGACUGGUUAAAUUCGAGCAGGAGUUCAGCAUUUCUGGUGUGUGGAAGAACGGCCGCUACUGUUACUGACACUGUGGGUUUAUCUCUUCGCUAUGCCUCUCCAUUUGGCAACAUAUUGCGCACUCUUGGGUGUUGAUAGUGUGCGACGGCAUAAAAAAUGGACACCCGAAAAUCCGUAGAAGAUCAGUUCUCCAAGUUGCAUCCAUGCUUACCAAUGGAUACCAGAAUCGGGAUAGUUGGAGGUGGUCCAAGUGGAUUAUCAGCUGCCUAUGCACUAGCGAAGCUCGGUUAUAGAGACAUCACUGUCAUAGAGAAGCACAAUUCUGUGGGAGGCAUGUG